rnacentral:lncRNA from 1 species
GUUUUUGCAAAAGCAUCAGUUAAUUCAUUCUCCGUUGCACCAUAAUCAAUUGAGACAACCCCCUUUUCGACCAAGCCCCUUAUGAAACAAUGACAGAUAUCAGUAAGCUUAGUUCUCGAAUGCUGAAUUGGAUUCAUAAACUUAUUUUUCGCAUUCAAAUUAUCACAAUUCAGAUUACCAAGUUUUUUAUUCCCAAAACUAGCUUUGUCACCAGAACUGUUGGAACAGUUAGUACUAUCAUCACAUGAGUUUAAAGAAGUAAUGGCAGAUAAACAAUUAAGAUCAGACUUCU